rnacentral:rRNA from 1 species
GAUGAACGCUAGCGGCAGGCCUAAUACAUGCAAGUCGAACGGUAACAUGAGUAGCAAUACUUGAUGACGAGUGGCGCACGGGUGCGUAACGCGUAUGCAAUCUGCCUUCAACUGGUGAAUAGCCCGAAGAAAUUCGGAUUAAUACACCAUAGUAUAUUUGAGUGGCAUCAUUUAAAUAUUAAAACUCCGGUGGUUGAAGAUGAGCAUGCGUGACAUUAGCUAGUUGGUGAGGUAACGGCUCACCAAGGCUACGAUGUCUAGGGGAUCUGAGAGGAUUGACCCCCACACUGGUACUGGGACACGGACCAGACUCCUACGGGAGGCAGCAGUAAGGAAUAUUGGACAAUGGUCGCAAGACUGAUCCAGCCAUGCCGCGUGCAGGAUGACAGCCCUAUGGGUCGUAAACUGCUUUUGUGCGAGAAAAAACCCCUCUACGUGUAGAGGGCUGAUUGUAUCGUAAGAAUAAGGAUCGGCUAAUUCCGUGCCAGCCGCCGCGGUAA